AUAGGACAGAAAUUAAAGACUAAACUAUUGAGAUGAUUUUUGAGAUAUUCUAACUAAAACUGUCACACAUGUAUUAAUUAAAUUUUUGCUUACCACCAAGCUGUACCAUUUAUAUAGGAAGAAAUGCUAUUUUUGCUUUAAGUACCUACUAAUAUACUCUGAUAAACUAAAUACACUUCCUUGUCUGCCUGUCCGUUCAACAGCGGCAGCCGCUACCGCCUUCCCGCUGCUACCGUCGAGCCUCCCGAAUUGCGAGCAUGUUCUUUACUUGUGCAUGGGCAUCCGCUGUGCUCUCCUCUUCAUGCAUAGACCCUGAUAAUGUGUCCCUUCUUUCCAAUCUCCCUUUGACCGUGCGUGCAUUCUUCCAUGACUGUCACCAUGGCGGCCACGCCGUCAACGUCAUUCCCCGGUUGUCCUAGGAGUGCGUGAGCCUCCAUGCCCGGUCAUGUUCCUCAUUGCAGCGGUGCCGGCAGAUCCUGUUGUCGCCCUUUCCCCUUCCGUGCCUGAAUGUUCAGGAUGUCAGCUUGGAAAGUUGAAUUAUGUUGGAUGGACUCAUAUGCUACUUGGUUAUACUGAUUUCUCAUAUGAACCAUGCCAUCAGCUUCAAUUGGGAUAAAGGCUUGGUAAAAUGUGUCUACAACAGUACCAUAAGGAGCAACUUACUACUGCUGAAAAUGUGUGUAAGUCUCUCAUUUUGAACUCAAUUCUCCCUUCAUUGGCAUCUUGGCUGUACACAUUGAUUUGCUCUUGUGAGUGGUAGUGCAUUGAAGAAUUAUUUGAUCUGUCGGUGUGUCUUCUGGUUUCGCUGAAACUAUUUCUUGGAAUUACUUACAUGUGAUGUUUAAUGUAGAAAUCAAUUCCUAUUCGAUGAGUACAUAUAUUCUUCAAGCACACAAGUUCACAAAUUAUAGAUGUGUUAACGGGGCAAAUAUUAUAGAUAAGCAAAUAAAAUUUAAAUGAUUUAUUGGACAACAUGAAUUGUCAGAACUACAUAUGAAGAUGCCGCACAUGGAAUGGUGUAUGUAUGCAAAUUUAAUUACAUGAUGUACCUGAGAUAUUUGAUUAGCUCAUCCAUCUCCCCACAUGCUAAUCAUUGUCCUUCUAUCUAUAAUUUGUGUGGCGGAGAAAAGCUAUUUAUGUUACCAUCUGUAUAUAAUAUCAACACACGAGGGAAAUAACUUUGGAAUACCCAGUAGAAAAUUUUAGAAAGUUCAAAGUUUCAGCAGUUUCUGCACAAGCAGAAUUUUCUUUACCAAAACAACAAGUUGAUGUCACAGGUCUCUCGCAGUUGCAAGAAUCCCGGUCUCUCGCAGCUGCAAGAAAUUGAAGCACAUAAGUAGACAUCUGUAAAUUUAAUAUAAGAUACACAAGAACUAAGAAAACCAUUCUUUGCUUUCAGCAUUGCAGAACAAAUUGACAGAAAAAUAUAGUUCUUCAUGGCGCCUCUUUUCAGUUUAGGCAUGAGCUUAGGAUGCAAUCGGGCAUGGAUCCAUGAAAGGUAAUUCCAUACUAAACGAAAUUACCUUUUCCAGUUUGAAGGUACGUUAGUGCUCUCAGAUACCUAAACCGGCUCCCCGCUCAAACCAAUGCACCCACUUGUACAAUCCAUAACAGAUCAAAUCACAAACUAACUCACAGUUAACCCACCAGAGAAAGCCAGACAAUGAGGGAGGGGAUUUGGGUAGUGCAAGCGAGGGCGAUUUUAUAC
rnacentral:lncRNA from 1 species